rnacentral:lncRNA from 1 species
ACGCACACAAGCCUCUGGACGUCAAGAGGAACACACCGGUGUAAGAGCAGACUGAUAGUGGCCCACGGCAGGCUGGCAGGCCAUCGACAGGCAGAACCACUCAGUGCAGCUGGAGGACAGCCUGGCCACGGAGCGGUCCGACUUCAGAGGGGAAAACCACCUCCCCACUCCGUCUCCCUUCUGGCUCCCCCAUCUGAGAGCUACUUCCACUCAAUAAAACCUUGCACUCAUUCUCCAA